rnacentral:misc_RNA from 1 species
GCCAUUACAAAGCCCAUCUUGAAUACAUCAGGAAGGUCUACAUACCCAGCUCCAUAGUAUACAGCAGCCUGACCACUGCUGUAGUGUGUAAGAGCACCAAAAAGAUUUGUAUUGUAAGCUAAAGCCAGUGCUGCCAACACACCAGGCACUCCAGCUGCCAAGUGCAUGGCAAGAAAUGCAGAGUACAGAGCUCCCACAUGACCGGUUUGACUGGCAAAUAGAUAGUGAAUGAAGAAGUAAGAUGCCUGAAGAACAACAAAUGCAGCUGGCCAGCUCAAAGAGAGAGAUUGAAGGAUCUUGGCCACACAACCAGACAUCCAGGCUACAAUACCAAGGUUUGUCAGUUGCCCUGCCAUGCCCACCAGAACAGCAAACCAAGCCAAGGUAUCCCA